UACGUAGGGUGCAAGCGUUAAUCGGAAUUACUGGGCGUAAAGCGUGCGCAGGCGGUUAUAUAAGACAGAUGUGAAAUCCCCGGGCUCAACCUGGGAACUGCAUUUGUGACUGUAUAGCUGGAGUGCGGCAGAGGGGGAUGGAAUUCCGCGUGUAGCAGUGAAAUGCGUAGAUAUGCGGAGGAACACCGAUGGCGAAGGCAAUCCCCUGGGCCUGCACUGACGCUCAUGCACGAAAGCGUGGGGAGCAAACAGG
rnacentral:rRNA from 2 species